GAUGAACGCUAGCUACAGGCUUAACACAUGCAAGUCGAGGGACCGGCGCACGGGUGAGUAACGCGUAUACAACCCUCCCAAUACUCGGUCAUAACCCGUUGAAAGACGGACUAAUUCCUGAUGCUAUUGGACGCGGAUGCGUCUGAUUAGUUUGUUGGUGAGGUAACGGCUCACCAAGACUUCGAUCAGUAGGGGUUCGGAGAGGAAGACCCCCAACAUUGGAAAUGAGGCCCAGACCAAACUCCGAGGAGGGGCAGCAGUAAGGAAUACUGGUCAAGGAAUGCAAAUCUGAACCAGCCAAGGAUCGUGCAGGAUGACGGCGUUUGGGUUGUAAACUGCUUUUAUGUAAGAAAAUGUAUCACAUGAAGAAGGACCGGCUAAUUCCGUGCCAGCAGCCGCGGUAAUAC
rnacentral:rRNA from 1 species